rnacentral:ncRNA from 1 species
UUAAAGUUUAAUUUUGGCUUUAUUAUUUAAUUUAAAGUUGAUUUACAUGUAAAAUUUUAUUUAAAAAGUUUUUUUUCAGUAUUUAAUAUUGAAAAUUUAUUAAUAUAUGUUUCAGUAAAUUUUAAUAAAUCUAAUAAAAUUUGUGCCAGCAAUUGCGGUUAUACAAAUAGAUUAAUUAAAUAUCUUUGAUUUUAAAUUUUAAUUUAAUUAGAAUUUAAUAUUUAAAUUUUUAGGUGAAAUUUAAAUUUAAAUAUUAAUCUUAAUAUUAAUUUUAAAUUUAUUAAAAUUGAAAUAUAAACUAGGAUUAGAUACCCUAUUAUAUUAAUUGUAAAAUAUAUAAUCAGAUUAGUAUUUGUUGUUCAUGAAAAUUAAAAAAUUUGGCGGUAUUUUAGUCAGUUCAGAGGAACCUGUUCUAUAAUUGACACUCCACAAUAAGUUCCACUUUUAUUAAUUUAGCUUGUAUAUCGUUGUUUAGAGUUUUUUUUAAGAAUUGGAAUUUUCAAGGUUUAUAAUGAUAAAUUAUUUCAAAUCAAGGUGCAGUUUAUAUAAAAGUAGAAAUGGGUUACAAUAAUAGUAUUUUUGGAAAAUAAUUUUAAAUUGUUAUUUGAAAUUGGAUUUGAUAGUAAUAUAAAAAAUUUAUUUAAUAUGAUAAAUGCUCUAAAAUAUGUACAUAUUGCCCGUCACUCUCAUUUAAAUUGAGAUAAGUCGUAACAUAGUAGAUGUACUGGAAAGUGUAUCUAGAAUUAU